GAAAAAAGUUAUCUUCUACUAUAAUUCUUCGGACCAAAAAUUACAUACAUACUACACAAAAAGGUUCAUCAAAUUUGUAACGACCCUGGAAUGUCCAAAAAAAUAAAUUAUAACUUAAGUGCGGAAGCAAAAUAAAUGGUUAAGGUUUACAUUCCUUACAUAAUAACUUAAAGUACCAAAUAGUGCUGCGGGAAUUACCAU
rnacentral:lncRNA from 1 species